UUCCUACGGGGCGCAGCAGUGAGGAAUAUUGGUCAAUGGUCGGGAGACUGAACCAGCCAUGCCGCGUGAGGGAGGAAGGUACAGAGUAUCGUAAACCUCUUUUGUCAGGGAACAAAGACUGGGACGCGUCCCCGGAUGAGUGUACCUGAAGAAAAAGCAUCGGCUAACUCCGUGCCAGCAGCCGCGGUAAUACGGAGGAUGCGAGCGUUAUCCGGAUUUAUUGGGUUUAAAGGGUGCGCGGGCGGUCUGUUAUGUCAGCGGUCAAAGCCCGGGGCUCAACCCCGGCCCGCCGUUGAUACCGGCAG
rnacentral:rRNA from 1 species